UGGGUUGUGGCUCAGUGGUAGAGCACUUGUCUAGCAUGUGUGAGGCACUGGGUUCAAAUCUCAGCACUAUAU
rnacentral:tRNA from 1 species